rnacentral:lncRNA from 10 species
ACUGGCAUGGAACUGGACAGAGAGCCCAGGUGCCCCUGGGGUCUGACAAACUCUCCCUGGGACCGGCGGGGCUUCCUGGAUGGGAUGACAUGGAGCAGGGCCUUGAGGAAGGCGUGGAGUUCCUCUGGGCUGGGGAGGGAAGGGGCUGACGGCAGGCAGGGUCUGCAGUCACUGGCCACCACCAUCAGCACCUUUGUCCUCCCAGGUCCUGGAGCUGGACUCCAUCCGCAGCCACCACUGGUGCAUCCAGGGCUGCAGCGCCGUCACCGGGGAGAACCUGCUGCCGGGCAUCGACUGGCUCCUGGAUGACAUUUCCAGCCGCAUUUUCACAGCUGACUGAACCACUCCAGAUGCCCCCCACCUAGCAGUCCAGGUCCCUCAACCUUCACCAAACACUACCCAUGGGGGGUUGGGAGUCAGCCGGCCAAACUAACACUCCCCCUCCUCCACCCCAGCCUGCUGCUGCUACUGCUGCCCGCUGCUGCUCUGUGGCCACCCGGCUCCCAUGGCGGGAGGGCUGUGCCCUGGCUGUCUCUCUGGCUCCUGACCUGGCCUUUGGCUACCAUACCAAGAAGAGAGGGCUGGGCGGGGAGGAGCUGCU